AUUGAACGCUGGCGGCAGGCCUAACACAUGCAAGUCGAGCGGAGCGGCGGACGGGUGAGUAAUGCCUAGGAAUCUGCCUGGUAGUGGGGGAUAACGUCCGGAAACGGGCGCUAAUCCCGAAUCCAACCAGAUGAGCCUAGGUCGGAUUACCUAGUUGGUGGGGUAAAGGCCUACCAAGGGGACGAUCCUAAACUGGUCUGAGAGGAUGAACAGUCACACUGGAACUGAGACACGGUCCAGACUCCUACGGGAGGCAGCAGUGGGGAAUAUUGGACAAUGGGCGAAAGCCUGAUCCAGCCAUGCCGCGUGUGUGAAGAAGGUCUUCGGAUUGUAAAGCACUUUAAGUUGGGAGGCGUUACCAACAGAAUAAGCACCGGCUAACUUCGUGCCAGCAGCCGCGGUAAUUC
rnacentral:rRNA from 1 species